ACUCUUUGCUGGAGAAUGACUGAAAUCAGUACCAGUUAGAAGGGAGAAGGAAUGCAAAAGAAAUUGAAUUUAAAGCUGAACAUGACAGAGUGGAGGAAGGAAAAGGCAACAGACAGCAACCAGGGAGAACUUAAAGCACCUGCUGGGACAACCGAGGAGCUGCCCUGUACUCCUGAUGUGAGAUGAAGUCAAGGAAAUAAAUUUUGUCCCCAGAAAGGCGUGAAAAAUAAAGGGAAUUACAGCCUA